rnacentral:misc_RNA from 1 species
AACGCACAUUGCGCCCGCCAGCACUCUGGCGGGCAUGCCUGUUCGAGCGUCAUUGUCAACCCUCAAGCCCAGCGGGCUUGGUGUUGGGGACCGGCGAACCUAGCCGCUGCAGCAAGGCGUGGCGCGCCGCCCCCGAAACGAAUUGGCGGUCCCGUCGCGGCCUCCUCUGCGUAGUAGCACAACCUUCGCAGCCAGGAGCGCGGCGCGACCACUGCCGUAAAACGUCCCGCCCCCCCCCCCAAAAAAGGGGGCUCUUCCAAGAGUUGACCUCGAAUCAGGUAGGAGUACCCGCUGAACUUAA